CGCGGCCUAUCAGCUUGUUGGUGAGGUAACGGCCCACCAAGGCGACGACGGGUAGCCGGCCUGAGAGGGCGACCGGCCACACUGGGACUGAGACACGGCCCAGACUCCUACGGGAGGCAGCAGUGGGGAAUAUUGCACAAUGGGCGAAAGCCUGAUGCAGCGACGCCGCGUGAGGGAUGACUGCCUUCGGGUUGUAAACCUCUUUCAGCAGGGACGAAGCGAAAGUGACGGUACCUGCAGAAGAAGCACCGGCCAACUACGUGCCAGCAGCCGCGGUAAUACGUAGGGUGCAAGCGUUGUCCGGAAUUAUUGGGCGUAAAGAGCUCGUAGGCGGUUUGUCGCGUCGGCUGUGAAAACCUGGGGCUCAACCCCGGGCCUGCAGCCGAUACGGGCAAGCUAGAAUUCGGUAGGGGAGACUGGAAUUCCUGGUGUAGCGGUGAAAUGCGCAGAUAUCAGGAGGAACACCGGUGGCGAAGGCGGGUCUCUGGGCCGAUAUUGACGCUGAGGAGCGAAAGCGUGGGGAGCGAACAGGAUUAGAUACCCUGGUAGUCCACGCCGUAAACGUUGGGCGCUAGGUGUGGGCCACAUUCCACGUUGUCUGUGCCGCAGCUAACGCAUUAAGCG
rnacentral:rRNA from 1 species